AACAAACUCAACGUCUUCAACACUUGAAAACCUCAAGCUUGAAACAACUUGCAUUUCUUUCAAGAUAACUAGUUUACAACUCAUGAUUGUUAUCUUUUUACUUUUUUGCUCUACCAACACUUGGUAUGAUUCCCAGUAGCUAGGCCAAAUCCUUUACUUUUUCUGUACCAAGUUUGAAUAGAGAGAUCUUCAUGCUAUAUUGUUAUCUUUAG
rnacentral:lncRNA from 1 species